AAAAAAUUAGUUAAAAUUAUAACAUUAGUUUGUCAAACUAAAAUUAUCAACUCAUUGAUAUUUUUUA
rnacentral:tRNA from 1 species